CCAAUAUGUGUUUUUGUGUCACAUACGAUGUCAACCUACUUUUUUCCUAAAGUCUUCUAAUAAUAAAAAAAAUGUUUAUAUAUAACGAGCCCUAAAAUAUUUAAAUUUUUGACGUACUCAUCACAAAUUUUGUAGCGUAUACAUCCCUACCUGCCAUAAAUGGAAAAAUAUUUAAAUCACAUAUUCAUAAGGGCACCCUAAUAGAAGAAUAAUGGCGGCUGAAUCUUUGAUAGUUCAAGCACUGUAUUCCUUCAAGGGAAGUAAUAAUGAUGAGUUGUGUUUCAAGAAAGGCGACAUUAUCACUGUUACUCAAAAGGAUGAAGGGUGGUGGGAGGGUACUUUAAAAGGAAAAACAGGCUGGUUUCCUAGCAACUAUAUUAAGGAAUGUAAAGAUGUACCAAAACCUAUUGUACCACAAGAAAAUCAAUACAAAAACUUGGUAUUAAAAGAUUUAAUCGAUUCUGAGAAAGCCUACAUCACAGAACUAGAGGGACUUGUUACAAACUUUCUACAGCCAUUGGAAAAGGGUGCUGUGCUGAAUCCAGAUGAAUAUAAACAGUUAACCAGUAAUAUAACUGAAAUAUUGGAAAUUCAUCAGCAGUUACUCAUGCUUGUUGAGCAAGAAUCUGCCAAGCCUGGACUGGAACAAAGAGUAGGAAAAUUGUUUUUAAGUUGGGCCCCAAAAAUUAAAGCUGCUCAUCAAACCUAUUGUUCUUUGCAUCCUAGAGCCGUCUGUAUAUUGGAUAAAUACAGGGAUGAUCUCACAAAAUACAUGGAAUCAAGAGGUGCGGCCAGUCCAGGUGUUUUGGUAUUGACUACAAUGUUAAGCAAACCAUUUAGAAGGUUGGAUAAAUACUCUGGAAUGUUACAAGAGUUGGAAAGGCAUGUAGAAGAGUGCCAUCCAGAUCGGGGUGACACUCAGCGAUCAGUUAGUGUUUACAAAGAUAUCGCUAUGACUUGUUCCACCAUAAGAAGACAAAAAGAACUUGAAUUACAAGUUUUGACCGGGCCAGUUAGAGGAUGGGAAGGACCUAGUUUAACGACUUUAGGAGAUAUCAUAUACAUGGGUUCAGUAGCUGUUGGUAAUCAACAUCAUGACAGAUAUUUCGUAUUAUUUCCCACCACCUUAGUUAUCCUUUCUGUUAGUCAAAGGUUGAGCGCAUUCAUCUAUGAGGGAAAACUUUUUCUUUCUGGCCUUACAGUAACAAGGCUGGAGGAUACUGAACAAUUUAAAAAUACCUUUGAAAUCAGCGCUCCUAUGAUUGAUAAGAGAGUUGUCGUCUGUCAAAGCAAACAAGAGGCAGAUAAAUGGGUAGAGCUCUUGACAAAACAAGUUCCUAGAAAUUCCAGUGCAUCUAAUCAGAUGGCGUCACCCUCGCAGGCCCAGUACGUCCCACAGCCCCCUCCCCAUGUAGCGAACUUGAAUCAGAGGGGUUAUUGUAACCGAUCGUCUGUAUUGUCAUAUAGGACAAACAUUAAUUAUACGCCAUCUUACCCCCCAUCUACUUAUCCGUCAGCUGCCCCUUACGCUGGGUUAACCAGAUUCUUCAGUAAAAACAUUAAAGACAAAAAGCUGACCCGUAAAUUGCUUCAACUCCUACUUUAUUCAGAAUAUUUGAACAAAAUUAAUCUUAGUUUGGUGAAAAUAAGGCAUCACAAAACAGAGUGUCUGAUCAUGACCAAAAACAUUCAUAUACGCGAUAGUGUAAUUGACUGUGAUAGUGACUCGGACUCAGAGAACUCCGAUUCAUCGGAAGAUGUGAAUUUGAUAAGGCAAGAUGCUGUUGAUCGUCGAUCCGAUAGCAGCUCGAGUAGUUCAAGUAACCCGUUUGGGUAUAUUAGAUAUUACAAUCCGCAAACAGGUUUGGAACGGCAGGAGUCGCCGAAAUAUGAAAGUUUCAUAGAUUACGGCGAACCAUACAAAGUGAGCGAACCAAAUGAAGGUAGCAGUGCCAGUUAUGGUCUGAGAGUGGUUGAAGACGAACCCAAGAAGCAAAGCGUAGUUUUAAUCUCAACCGCCAGAGUAAAUCUACUAAAAAAACAGUGGUCAGAAGAUUCGGAAGCAAGCUCUUGUCUAGUAGCUCGCAAUCCGGGACUAGCCUGCGAGAACCUACUAAAUAUCGACGAAAAUCUUGAACUAAACACUUUACAUGUUCCAGAAAAUUGUAUGCCGAUUGCAAGGCAAAGUUGUCCUACCAAGCUUGUUGGCAACAAAUUCAACAAAAGUAGCUUAACUACAAUUUACAUUCCAACUUGGUCGAAUAGUGAUAAUAAUAUUUCGUGUCGAACGAAUUUUGAUGAUAGCAAACCCGAAAGUGUUUCUAGCACGGCAACGCACUCCAGCAGUUUGGAGUUGCCCGUGAAUACCCUUCCCCUCCCAGAUAAAAUUAUUGGUGAACUUCUUUACGGCGAGUUUGCAAAGUCAGAAUCGGUAGAGAGUGAUUUAACCGAACAUUCGUCCAAAACUGUGAUAAAGCCGCCGACAAUGUUCGAAGCGAAGACGGUUAAUUUGAGCAAAGAAAACGUACCAUUUAGGAAACACAGUAUUAACUCAGACAAACCUAAACGAAGAUGCAGUAUUCAACUGAAUCCCACAGAUCUCAAAGAUAAAGCUUUAAGAAAAUGUAUAAGUUCGCGAUACUUGCAGAUGAAUCCAGGCAGUCAGCCGGGGCCUUCAAAGAAGUCUGUAUGUCGAUGCGGUAUUGAUUAUUGCAAUAGCCCCAGGUCAUCGGAUUCCGGCAUGGCCGGAAGCUGCUCGUUGAAUUCGCCGGAUUUGGCCAACACAGCGGACGCUGAUCUAGAACGUAACAGCGGCGAUAUGAUCAAUAUUUUGUAUCGAGAAUAUGAUCUGAAUAACGGUCUGUCACUAAGCGAAAUCGAAGCGAAAAACUUUGAAUCGCAGUGUCCUUGUUCGUCGCCGUUCGGUUCCACCCCGAGAACAUCUAGCGAAGCCGGCCGGACUAAUGAUAGUCUCAGAACGACUUCGGUCAAUAGUAUCGACAUAUUUCCUACGCAACUGCAAAUGCAUUCCAGGCUUUCAACAAGUUCGGGACCGCAACGGUCAAAAUCAGAAAACUGCCUUUUGGAUAGCGAUUCAAACGAGGUCGAACAACUAGAUGGGAAUGAGAACGCUACGGGGCCUCUAAUGUUUAAAUCUGGGUUAUACGCGCACUGGUGGCUAAAAGCCAAAUUACCUCCUGCCAUCGUUAGAGGAAUUUACGAGGAGACUCGUUCCAAUAAGCAGACUGCAGAUGUCUCCACUGGUGUCAGGAGCCAGUGUCCACAACAAUCACCAGCUGAACCCGGCAGCCGUGCUCCCCCCCACAGGCGGCAGGACCGCCAGCAGUACCAGUAUUAACCUUCGUUGCUCGUCCCCGCCAGCAGCACCGCUUCACGGCAACGGUCGCGGAGCUACACCUGGAGGUCCUUAUCAGAGAUACAGUCGUCGAAUGUCCAAUUAUAAAGAAGACGGGAUGAUACUCGAUGUAAUUGAAGCUUAUUGUUCAUUAGGCAAACCCAGAAGUACUAUCAAUUCUG